AAUUUCAAACUAAACAUCUCAUACUUUCCUUUUAUUUAUUUGGGAACACUAUUUUAAUCAUAAUAAUCAAAUAUGUCUUACACAGUACUCCCUCUGUUCCAUUACAUCCUACAUUACUUUACAGAGGGGGUAUAUUAUAACAAGACAUCACAUACAACUAGAUAAUGGUAAAGGACAGACAACACAAUGAAGAGUCGGGGCAUAUAACUCAACGAAUAAGCAGGGGGCAUGAUACCCUGAUCAUCUGAUCUGCACAUGGGCAUAUACAGUGGCACUAAGAGGAAAUAUCAGAUGUAAUUAGAGUCGGGGCAUAUAACUCAACGAAUAAGCAGGGGGCAUGAUACCCUGAUCAUCUGAUCUGCACAUGGGCAUAUACAGUGGCACUAAGAGGAAAUAUCAGAUGUAAUUAUCUAUUUUGCCCUCCAUAUAUUUAGUGUCGUCACACAAAAUAGAAUUUAUGAGGAGACCAAUGCAGCCGGCCUUCUGAUUCUCUGGAUAAUUAUCCUUUGACCUCUGCUAAAUUGUAG
rnacentral:lncRNA from 1 species